AGGGAAAAAUCCUACCCUCUUCACAUCAGUCUUCUUAACUUUUUUCUCUCUAAAAAAAAACCCUAGCCGUACUACGAUAGAGGCGAUCUCUUCACAUCAAACUCCGCUAGGAGGAAAAAAAAAAAUUACUUGCACCACACUAGAGAUUUGAUUGAUCAUCACUAUCCCCUUUUGAGUUUUCCAGAAAAGUUACUGGGUUCUCUAAUAGAAGAAUUACCGUUGGGUUUUCUACAAUAAAAUGAAAGAUUUACGCAGUUCUCUACCAGAUACGAUGGUUUAGUAUUUUGCAAGAAGAGAUACCGAAUCAUAUUGAAAGGUUUAGGUUAGCCUGACUUUCCUUUUGUCUCUCUCUUUUUUUUGGGUUACGUUUUUUUCAUUUGAUGUCUUUGGGUUUGAAUUAAUUUUUUCCCUGCACAAUAUAGUCAGAAUUGUUUUUGAAGUAUUUGGUUUCAAUUAAAUUUUUUUUCUUCAGUAAAUUGACCUGUAAAAGUAUUGUCUGUCUUAUUUUUCUUAAAGUUUGGAACUUCACUUUUUAAUUUUUGUUACUUGCCAAAACUUGCAAAUCAUCCAAUCCUAUUUCUUAAGAUAUGUGGAUCAGUUUUUGGGUAUUUUACUA